GCACGCCCCUCCACGAUCCCUACCCAGAUCGCUGCACACCACCGCCGCCGCCGCGAAUCCCCGGGGACGCCGCACGCCGCCACCGCCGCGAAUCCCCAGGGAUGCCACACGCCACCGCCGUCGCGAAUCACGAGAGACGCCGCUCGCCGCCGCCGCGGAUCCCCAAGGGCGUGGUCGCGUUGCCCUGAUUGGAGGAGACCCUGCCCGCCUUGCCUCGUUUGGAGGACGAACACAGGUAUUUCGAGGCCCAUGUGCGUCAAUCCCGACCUCCGCUUUCCCCCUUUUCCAUCGAGGGCCGCCGCCGCUGCUUCGUCUUCUAUCUCUCCCGAUCCCCAUCGGCACCUGCUGGAUGGUGCUCCGGGAACAGGGCCGCACGGAGGCCCUCCUCCCGUAGGAUGUGCAGACGCGGCACGCCUUGCAGCGGCUGUUCGGGAUGAGCGCGGGCGCGACAACCUUGUCCCAGUCGAUGAUGGCGGCGGCGAACGCCGGUGCUCCUUCUCGUCCUCUACCUCCAAGGACGCGCACCGAUACAGCUCAGGCACCCCCGUCCCCAAAUCCCGCCCACCCAUCCGGCGUUGUCCAGCUCAUCCUCACGCUCGUGGAUUCGCCUCCUCCUGUAUGCGACACUUGAAACGUGGACGUGGUGAGCUUCCCCUCUCUCUACCCCCAAAUCUGGAUGGCACUAGCAUCUGUUACAUACAUACAUAUGGAUAAGCAUCUUGGUUUGGUUCUUUGGUUCAGUUUGUAUUCAGUCUGUAUGCGUCUGGAUGUGAAUGGCACUUGCAAUAUAUGGCCGUUCCUUGGUUGUCCAUUUGUAUGUGUCCAUCAGUAUGUAAACGGCCGCUCCUUGAUUGUUAUUUUGAACAAAACUCCCCCUUAAUUCUUCCUGUACUGAAAUGAAUCCUUGGAAGCUAGCACUACAUGUCUGUUGUUGCUGUGGUCUUAUACUACAUGGCUUUUUUCAAUUUAAUGUCAGUCAAGUUUAUGUGAAUAUAAUCUCCUUUGAUCUGAUGUUUUGGUCUGAAUAUUUACAUUUUAAUUAUCAUGUACGUACUAAUGCAUUCUCAGAUCUUUGGUCGGUGUUAUCUUUUAAAAUAAAAGUAAAUGCAAUCCUUAAAUAGAAGUAGAAGAAGCAUGUCCGCAAACAGAAUUGUACAUUUUCAUUCCUUUGUAGAAGUGUGAUAGAUUAUUUCUUGAAAACACAAAGAUUUCAAGUAUAGCGUCAGAACAAAGAUACAAACUGUAAUUUCAACAUCCGGUAAAUGACAUAUACAGCGAGUUGGGCGUGUCAAAUGUUGAUGUACAAACAGAAUACAUUGGAUUAAUUAUCUACUUUUUAGAUCAGUUCGGAAUACAUAUUGGAAGAGCAAAUUAUGUUAUGUUCCCAGCCCAUCUCUUUCUGCUAUCUUGCUGCUGCAAGACUUCGGAGUUUUAGUGGCUAAUAUAAUUUUGACAAUUUUGCUGCAAUAUCUUCAGUUUCUCUAUUGAUUUGGACAAUUUUGCUGCUCCAAUAGUCUGAAGCAGAACCUCCGUCUUCUAUCUCAACGUCGGCGGCCCGACGACGCCGACUCCUUAUCGACGCCCGUCGACAGCCCGGUGACGCGACCAGAUCACUGCAAAUUGCUCCAUUCAUGUCAGCAGCCUAAUCAGGUUUAUUGUAGAUUGGAGUUGUCCCUUCACUCUUGAUCAAUAACCAGAUAUUGGCAAGCUUGAGUUAUCCAUGGAUGCAUGGAAAAGAUUAUUCAUUGUUGUGAUAUGCAUAUCUGUAGGAUUAAAUUCAUCUGAAUUAUGAGCUAUGUCACACUUUGCAGAGUAUAGAGACUUCAGUUCACAUAAUCUGUUUGUACAUAUGUUGAUGUCAGGUGGAGGUGGUCAUGCUGGCGCCACUGUUUCACUUCGUGCUGAUGCGGUAUAAAAGUGCCUCCUCGGCAGAUGAGGACCUGAGCAUGGUCGUGCUAAUGAGGAUGCAAGAUCCACCGCCAUCGGCCAGUCCGAGUGCGUUGUUGUUUUCAUUCUUUGGGAUUUCGAAAUCAGGUGUUCGUCCCUGAUGAUUUCCGCGAGAUAAACUGAUUUCAUUGGCAUCAUCUAUUUCAUUGCCUCACCAAUAUCCAUGUGAGCCUGAGUUGUAAGUGAAUGUACACAUUGCGUGGUUGUGUUCCUGCAGGUGAUUGCAGAGAACUUGGCAGGCAGAUCAAUUACGAGGAGGUCAGGGUGCCAACAUGAAAAAGCUGGAGAUAUCUCUAUUUUUGUCAGUCAUUAUUCAGGCUCUAAAGCUUCCCCUUUUCCUAUACCACAUUACUUGAUAUUAUUAAAUUCAGUACGCUUACUCAACUGUGAACAAGUUCAUGUGGUAAGUAGGAUCAACAAGAGUUGGCUGGCAACUUCUAUGUAUAUGUUAUUAUGGAUCAGCCAAGGUGGUUAAAUUUUCAAUUUUUUUCCUUUUUCUUAAUUUAAGCCCUUAAGUUUAUGCUGUUAAAUGCAUACACAUAACUUAGUUCCAGAUUUAACAAGAGUACAUUUUACAACAAACUUCAUAGCUGAUGUUGAUCAUAAUUAGUAAGUGCACAAAGCAUUUCAAGGAAUUUAUGUUUUGUGCAUAUUGUAUAUUGCAGACUUGCAGUGAAGUAGUGCCAUCUAAGUACCAGAUGUAUGUUAUUUUCAGAUAAGCUUUUCUUAAAAUGGAAAAUACUAAAAAGCAAAUUGUGCCACACCGUGCAAUUAAGGUGCCUUGUGCUGGAAACUCAAUGCAACUUCUUGUUAUUUUCAAAUAAGCUUUUCUUAAAAUGGAAAAUACUAAAAAGCAGAUUGUGCCACACUGUGCAAUUAAGGUGCCUUUUACUGGAAACUCAAUGCAACUUCUUGUUAUUCCUUCUGAACCUAGCAAUUAAGCCAUAUCUUGUUUUCACUCCUUCUGAACCUAGCAAAAUGACCUGCUUGGACCGAACGAGGACAGGUGUGUGGUGGUGGACAUAAGAUGCACGGCGAACAUUGAGCUACAGAAGAACAUUAUGAAAGAGGUUGGAGAGGCUGGAGGAGACCAUAUACCAAUACAAAGCGCAUCUUGAUGGCCAUCAAUGAGGAGCUGAACCUGCUACACCAGGCUAAUUGCAAGCAUCGGGAUGAUUUGGACGAGAUGACUGAUGAGGACAUGAGCGUUGUCGGAUGAUUUGGACGAGAGGACUGUAGCACGACGCAAUGAAGAGCCAGAUCGUCCGUCCGCUCCCAGCUCACUUCCCGGUUUCGUUGUGCUGCCCGUUGCACCAACCAUCCAGUAAAGGUUCUGAGGUUAACAUCUCUUUUGCGAGUUUCAUAUAACUUUCGUUGUCACUUUAUUAUCUAUUGAUCCACAUAUUUGUAUUUUAGCAGACAUGAGUUACUUUAUCAUCUUUCCAGGAAGAAAUUACUAGAGAGAAGAAAACUCAGUUUUACAAGUAGUGACAGUCCAACAUCAUAUUGACAAGUCUGGUUCCUCUUUCCGUAUACAUAAGUGUAUAAUUUGUUUUAAGUAACUGUUUCCUCGGUCCUUAUUGCCACCGUUUUCUCAAGUGCAACCGCGAGCUUAGUAAUAGCAAGAUAGAAAUUUGAGAUGGCAAAACUGUACGUCCAAUACAAUUUCUAACUUGUGCUUGACUACUUGUUGCUUCUUGCAGUUUGGUUCUUUAAAUAACAAGAAAAGAUGGCAAAACUUUACUCACAAGAAGUUGUGUAUUUUGGAAAGAUAGAUGAUCGAAAUAAACUGUCAUUGUCAUAAAUUUUGUACUGUACAUUAUGCGAUUGGCCUGACCAUCUUCUUCGUCAGUGUCGGAUGUUCGACAUCAAUCUCCAUCUUUUCAUUUUCAGAAUCGCACGUGGGGUUAGUAAAGACUUCUUCAUAUUUGCUUUUGUUGCCACUGCUGCAGGAGAGUUGCCACCUGAUAGCGAUGUUGUCCCUUCAAAAUUGUUUUAAGUUCUUUUUUGCUGAUAUAAGUGCAGACUUUUGCAUUAAGCAUGACAUGGAAUUUGUUUUAUGUAAAUAUUGAUGCUUCACAAUGAAUUCAUGUUGUGAAGGGUGAUGAUUUAUCUUCAGUACAAUCUGUUAUAAGUUGUAGUUUAUUUUGUUUUCAUGUGUUAUUUGUAGAGAAUAUAUGGUUCGUGUUUAUCAUGCUUAUUUCAUAUAGCUUUUUCUGGUAGCAUAUUUGUAACAGAAAUGCAUUAGCCACCCUGUUCAUGAUUCAUAAUGCAUGCGUUUUAGUGGGAUGGAGGUAAUAUUGAGAGAGACAGACCCAUCAGGCUAAGGAAUAGAAAUAGUAUAUCUUUUGAGUCUACCAUCUUCUAUGCCAAGCAGGGUCGAGUGGGGUGAUAUACUAGGCGCUUUUCUUCUAAAUUGUACAGAAAGUCCACUGAGUUAUUGUUGUUUGUAUGACACCUUAGAGCGAAAUAGUACUUCUUUUAAUCAUUUUUAGGUGAAAUGCAAGCAUGUAGCUACCUCACUUAAUUAUUGUACUCACUUGAAGUUUAUGUUGAUAUAAUGCACUAUUUAAGUAGUAGAGAAACCUCACAAAUUUGAAUUGAUGAAUGAUAUUUAGGAAAAGAAGUAGGCAUGUUUCAUUAUAAAGGGAAAGUAUUUUUCAAGGCAUAGUGUUUAAUUCACGGAUGGUUAAACAGUUUAACAGGGACCAACAUUGGGUAGCAGGGGAGUGGCAGUGCAUAGAGACAUAGUGAGGGGAGCGGGGGCGAUGAUGGAGGCGGAGAUGUUUAGAGAGAGAUAUAGAGAGUGGGAGGUUUACCAUGGUGUAAACGAAAACCGAGGCACGCCUUGCUAAGACAAGCACACUUUAAAACAUAGCAAUACUCUGCAUUGUUUUGAUGUUGGUAUCAGGACCAGGUACCAUGUGAAGCUCAAGGAAUGGUUGUAGAUCAUUAUGGAUAAACUGAAAAAAGAUCAUUAUGGAGUACAUUAUAAACGGCAUUUGGUGUCGGUGGCAUGUCACUACCACUGACAAAGUUCUAUGAAACACGAUUACUAUCAUUUGAAAAUAAAUGCUGGCAAAGAUAUUAAAAUUCAAAUCUGGCUUAUUUUUCUCAAUAUGGGUUCAGAAGGAAAUUGUCGUUGAGCUUCUAUCUAAAGGUAUGUCAGAUUAACAGGUUGCUAUCGCAACUCUUGAUUUGGAGUAAUGCAAAGCAACUGUGGAUCUUGUCGUCGGUACAUCUUGGGUUGCCAUUCUUCCAGAACGAAGGAUUUUUUCCCUAGAUUGUGCUGUGAAAUAAUGCUUGUAUGACACCUUGAUCUCUUGGCUACACCAUGCUUUCUUAAGAACACUAUACUUGCAGAAGAAUGAUGCUUCUAUAGAAUGCCACCAUGAGUUCUAGCAGUUCUUUUAAUUCUGUGUUCACUAUGAACGAAUGAACCAUAUAAUUUGUCAAUUUGAUCAGUACUUGCUUUCAUGUUGCAACCUCAGAUUUAGGCACUUCAUAGCCAUAGAAUAAUUUUGAAUUGUUAUGCUCAGUACACCAAAUGUUCUUCCUAGGUAAUGCACUGUUUGCAACUAAGUUUUGUCUUUAAGCACCAAGGUGUAGUAGUAUGCAUUGAAAUAAAUGGAUCAUUUCUAUCUUUCUGGUGCUCAUAAUAGACUUUUUCAUUUUGAAUUUGUAUGCUUGAAAUUUGAUUAUUUCUACCAACUGAGAGUGGAAAUGAACUGUACCGUAGGCACUUUUUCAUUAGAUUUCAGCAGCCUCGAUGGCUGAUGGCAGCAACCUCAUGGGCCACACAUCCCCUUCGUUAAUUGCAUGCCCUCAAAAAAUGGAUGGGGACUUGGUUCUUUGGUUGUCGCCGCCGGACUCAGUGAAGGACGAAAAAUUGAGAUGAUCCAUUGAAGAAUAGAUGCCACGGGCUGAAGAAAGGAGGUGACGGUUUCAGAGCACACACCUUGAAGCAGAGAGGCGGCAAGGGAGUGCGUCUGGAUGGCAGAGGGAGCGGGACAAAGCAACAUCACAUGGGAGACAUGGUCAAAAUCGGCGCCGUAGGAGCAAUCGUGCAUGUGGGGGUCGUACCAGGGAGAAGGAAAAGGGUGGUCGGUGUUGUAGGGCUUUUUUCCUUGCAUCGGGAAAUGGGUUCGGUUGAAAAAAACGAUGAUGUGGGGAGGUCACGCGAGUGGUGGAUACGUGGGUACCGUUUAACGUACCAACUGUGGUUUAAUAGUAGAGAUUAAUAUGUUGAUAUUUUAUUCAUUUUCUUCUUAGCUGAACAUUCAUUAAACCAAAAAUCUAUGAAACUUGUAAUGUAUCAUGGUCGCAAUUUGUGAAGUAGAACUAACUAUCCUUUGACCAAAUACCCUUUGAUCGUUCAUCAAUUUUUAUGUACUUGUCGCCCGUGACAACAAAUAUGGAUCAAAUAACUAUGCACUAUGGGCACUAAUAUGGUUACCUUCAAAUGGGUUUGUUACUGUGUUUAGUUACUAUGAUGUUUCAUAUGUUCAUCAGAAAAAAUAAAGGCUUAUUUGCUUGCAUGUGCUUUCUCAUGUUUGUUUGUUUUUUCUUGUGGUUGUUCCUUUUCUAUAAUUGUCACAUAAAGUGAACCGAAACUCAUAUUCUAUAUUUCUG